rnacentral:rRNA from 1 species
UACGUAGGGUGCAGGCGUUAAUCGGAAUUACUGGGCGUAAAGCGUGCGCAGGCGGUCUUUUUAAGUCAGAUGUGAAAUCCCCCGGGCUUAACCUGGGAACUGCGUUUGAAACUGGAAGGCUUGAGUGUGGCAGGAGGGGGGUGGAAUUCCACGUGUAGCAGUGAAAUGCGUAGAGAUGUGGAGGAACACCGGUGGCGAAGGCAGCCCCCUGGGCUAACACUGACGCUCAUGCAUGAAAGCGUGGGGAGCAAACAGG